rnacentral:rRNA from 1 species
CCAGACUCCUACGGGAGGCAGCAGUGGGGGAUAUUGGACAAUGGGGGAAACCCUGAUCCAGCGACGCCGCGUGAGUGAAGAAGUAUUUCGGUAUGUAAAGCUCUGUCAGCAGGGAAGAAAGAAAUGACGGUACCUGACCAAGAAGCCCCGGCUAACUACGUGCCAGCAGCCGCGGUAAUACGUAGGGGGCAAGCGUUAUCCGGAAUUACUGGGUGUAAAGGGAGCGCAGGCGGUACGGCAAGUCUGAUGUGAAAGCCCGGGGCUCAACCCCGGUACUGCAUUGGAAACUACCGGACUGGAGUGUCGGAGGGGUAAGUGGAAUUCCUAGUGUAGCGGUGAAAUGCGUAGAUAUUAGGAGGAACACCAGUGGCGAAGGCGGCUUACUGGACGAUCACUGACGCUGAGGCUCGAAAGCGUGGGGAGCAAACAGGAUUAGAUACCCCAGUAG